AGGAGUUACUAUAGCUAGCAGCAAAAAGAACUUCAGAUGUGAUUAACUUGGAGCUCUGAGUUUGUGUUGCUGCUUUCUUAGUGCUCUCUU
ensembl:miRNA gga-mir-1551 gga-mir-1551